rfam:Natranaerobius trueperi strain DSM 18760 ZB100009, whole genome shotgun sequence.
UCCAUCGUGAGGUGGAGUCUGCAGGAAGCCUAAUACAAAAUCUCGGUCUGACGAACAGAUGUACAUGUUAACUUAAAAGUACCCCAC